GCGGCAGAGGCCGGGGCGCGGGCGGGCGGCCUGGGCUCGGUGGGCGAGCGGGCGGCAUCGGGCCGGCGAGCUGUGGGGGUGCGGGCGGCCGGGAGGGCCAGGGACUGGGGCAGACGGACGGCUAGGCGCGGCAGGCGGGGUCCGCACCCCGGGCCUGCUGGGGGCAACGACGGUGACUCGCUCUUUGUCUGCACUCGUUCCAAAAUGGCUGCGGCCGGAGCUGACGGGAGCGCCGGGCGGUCGAGGGAGGGAGGGAGGAUGGGAGGGAGGCCGUGCUCCCGAGGCCCGUCCGCCGCUGCCUUCGCGGGGCCGGAGCCGGGACAGGCGGGCGGCGGCGGCGCCACGGCUGCGGGCGGGCCGGGCCUGGCCGAGGACUGGCCUCGCGGCGUCGGUUGCGCGACUGCCGGGCGAGGCGGUGCGUCCUGGGCCCCGCGCGUCCCCGACCCCGUCCCCGUCCCCGUCCCCCCGCCGCGGCCCGAGCUUCCCCGGAGGGAGUGGCGCCCGGCCUGGGGCGGCACGGCUCCCGCACACGGGUAUCCAUAAAUCACUGGGGGAGCCGACAGCGCUUGUGGCGACCGGCAGUCCCGAGUCGGGAGCGGUCCUGUGUGGACGGCCUCUUCCUGUUUGCUCUGUUCCCUUUGACAAAGUGCGUGACCUAAACACUGUGCACGAGCAUCUCCGCUGUAGAACUGACUAGCUCAGGAAGGUUGGUGGUGCCAUCUCAGGGCACCCCUGCUUCUCCACACAGCCGUGGCUUCCUGCGUUCUCUGACGGGACCCCCCUCCCCCAGCCUCCGGUCAGCCUGCACUCUUGGACGCAGGCCAGCAUGGCUGCUCACCUCUGCAUCUGGCCUGCGCCCUGCAGGGGCGCUGAUCUCACCCGCAGACUGCUCCAGGGCACUGUCCUACAGGAAGUAUGGGCGGUUAAGUCUGCACCCCACCUCACCCCCUGUGGUCCCAUUUCCCUGCCAGGGGAGUCCCCGUCCCCUGCCCCCACCCCAGGGAAGAUGGGAGCCACAGUGCUCCCUGGAGCACUGCCCACCUUGAGAGUGAACAGGGGCAGUGAGGAAGCCAUGGGGCCACCUUGUGCGCCUUUUCAGUGUCUCUUCAAUAAAAUAGAGAAAGCAUCAGACACA